rnacentral:rRNA from 1 species
AUGAGGACCUCCAUCCAUGGCUGCUCUCUUCGUCAGCCAAACAUGCGCGCCGGCCGACGGCAGCCCUCCUCCGUCUCCGCGAGCGCCACUCCUCUCCCUCGGCAGAUCAUAUCGGCUGCAAAGGAAAAGGGCGAGCCUACAGAGAUUCGAACAAAGCACCACAGAGUACAGCAUGUGCACGUUAGCCACUCCAACAAGCAUAGCCAUAUGUUCACGACAAGAUGCGAUUCUAUUUACAAGGGAAAAAUUGAGUCGCAUGAAUUUGAAAGAAGGAGCGCAGAAAAACUCAUGAGCGUCACACACAUAGCAGGCUCCACUGACAUGUGGGCCACCAGCCAAUUGGCACUCCAAACGGGCAUCUCAUACACUCAUACGUACAGAGGCACCGUAUUUGAACGCUCGAACAAGUUGCUGGAUGCAUUUGUGGGCACCGUUUUCACAUUAAGUCACCAACCUUUACGUCCCACCGAGGGUAAUUUUGCGCCGGUCAAAGAGAUCGGCGAUGUGAGAGAGAUAUUUGAUAUUGCAGGAGAGAUUCCAGCAGAUUUUCCAGAGGGUGUUUAUAUAAGAAAUGGUUCCAACCCUCUCUUUGGAGCCCUCCACUCGUCAAGCUCUAUCUUUGGCAAGUCCCAUGACAUAUGGAUCGAAGGAGAAGGCAUGCUCCACGCCGUGUACUUCACCAAGAGCAACAACAACACAUGGUCAAUCAAGUACACCAACCGCUAUGUGCAGUCCGAUACAUUUAGGGUUGAGGAUGGACUGAAGAAACCAUGCUUCCUCCCUGCCACUGACGGUGACCCUCUUGCGAUGCUCAUAGCGGGUAACCUUAAUACUCUGAGGUUCGGAAAGGCUUUCAAGAACAUGAGCAACACCAGCGUGUUUGAGCAUGCUGGGAGAGUCUUCUCAGCAGCAGAAAAUGAUAACCCCCAUGAGAUUGACUUGUAUAGUCUUGGCACACUGGGUAGCUGGAAUGUUGAUGGAGGAUGGAAGAUGCCAUUCACUGCGCACCCCAAGGUAAUCCCUGGAACAGGAGAGUUGGUCAUCUUCGGGUUCAACGUGGAUGCGCCUUUUCUAACGGUAGAGAAACUUGAACAAGCUUUGAGAAAGGCCUGGUACAACGGACACAACAAUUUCGCUCCCGAGCUCAUCUACUCCCUUGGAAGACCAUGCGUGAUGUUCGUGCCAAAUUUGGUGGUGUUUGGACAUCUCAGUAGCUCUCGGCAAAAAGGAAUUAGGAUGAUAUAUUCACCAAAAGAAAGAUUCGUGUGCAUAAAUAUAGUCAAGGAUUUAGCAAAAGAAGAUGCAAUUUCUGAUUCUCCACUUACAAUCAACAAGGAAAGGAUGCUCAAAGGUGCUCUGCUGAUUGAAUUCGAAAAGGAUAGCUAUGCAAGAAUAGGUGUCAUGCCCCAUUAUGGUGAUGCAAACUCGAUAACAUGGUUUUACGUACAACCAUUCUGCACGAUCCAUCUUGUCAACUGCUUUGAAGAAGAUGAUGAGGUACAUAUUGGGCACAAACUGAACCAAUCCUUGGACAAAAGUCAUGAUCCAACCUCCUAUGGGAGCGCACGAGACAACAAAGCAAUCAAGAAAGAACAAAAGGUCGUUGUGAGGGGAUUUCAUGUGCCAGGUUCUAUCAUUUUGGGGCCAAGGAUCAAAUCCAAUCAAGGACUAACCAAGGAAUGUUUUUCUCGCUUGUAUGAGUGGAGACUGAACUUGAAAACAAGGACAGUUGUAGGCAAAUGCUUAACUGGAGAAGAGGUUGCCCUGAAAUUCCCAGUAAUGAAUGACAAAUAUGUUGGCUUGCCUCACAAGUAUGCAUAUGCACAAGUGGCAAAUUCUCCGGCAAAUUUGGCAGUCAAAUGCAAAUAUUGUCUUAGGAUCAUGGAAGAGAAGUGUUUUGACUCUACCUUUCUGAAUCUUCAAAGUGGGCACAUAGAUGUACGACCGAAAUUCGGAGGUUUUGCAAAAUUUUGUCUUCAUGAGAAAGAGGAUGCAACCACCAAGGUCAACGGUACAAACGAAGAUGAUGGUUGGAUAGUUUCGUUUGUGCAUGAUGAAGGGACAAAUAAAUCAAAAGUGCACAUCAUCAAUGCACAAACAUUUGAGUAUGAGCCUAUUGCUAAGAUAGCAUUGCCGCAAAGAGUGCCAUAUGGAUUUCAUGGAGCAUUUGUAUCAAAAAGUACAUGA